GAUGAACGCUGGCGGCGUGCCUAACACAUGCAAGUCGAACGGAGUCGUUUUGGAAAUCUCUUCGGAGAUGGAAUUCUCGACUUAGUGGCGGACGGGUGAGUAACGCGUGAGCAAUCUGCCUUUAAGAGGGGGAUAACAGUCGGAAACGGCUGCUAAUACCGCAUAAAGCAUUAAAUUCGCAUGUUUUUGAUGCCAAAGGAGCAAUCCGCUUUUAGAUGAGCUCGCGUCUGAUUAGCUAGUUGGCGGGGUAACGGCCCACCAAGGCGACGAUCAGUAGCCGGACUGAGAGGUGGAACGGCCACAUUGGGACUGAGACACGGCCCAGACUCCUACGGGAGGCAGCAGUGGGGAAUAUUGCGCAAUGGGGGAAACCCUGACGCAGCAACGCCGCGUGAUUGAAGAAGGCCUUCGGGGUGUAAAGAUCUUUAAUCAGGGACGAAACAAAUGACGGUACCUGAAGAAUAAGCUCCGGCUAACUACGUG
rnacentral:rRNA from 1 species